UACGGAGGGUGCAAGCGUUAUCCGGAUUCACUGGGUUUAAAGGGUGCGUAGGCGGGCAGGUAAGUCAGUGGUGAAAUCUUCGAGCUUAACUCGGAAACUGCCUUUGAUACUAUCUGUCUUGAAUAUGGUGGAGGUAAGCGGAAAUAUGUCAUGUAGCGGUGAAAUGCUUAGAUAUGACAUAGAACACCUAUUGCGAAGGCAGCUUACUACGCCUAUAUUGACGCUGAGGCACGAAAGCGUGGGGAUCAAACAGG
rnacentral:rRNA from 1 species